AUGCAAAGAAGCAGGAGUGGGGUUUUCUUGGUUUCAUGUUAACUCUAGGCAGUGAUGAUUUGGGGAAUGCAGCUUCAUGAAUCCUUGACAAAGUUAUGGACUCUGUGCGCUGACAAAGCUGUAACAGUUUUGCUUCUCUGCGAUGACCGAGGUGUAUGCCAGGUAAUUCUAGACACCCAGCUGAGGUGUUUAACUUAAAACAAGUGUAAUUGUCCUCUGCUUUCUUUACAGAGUAAGGGGAGCGAGAGAAAAACCCCCAGAACGCCUCUAACAUCUGAACAAUAGUCUGGAAGUGUCUGUCUCCAAAAAUUAUCAUGACAACCUCAGGCGAUUAGUCUGCCCUAAAAUUGGAGCCUGACUUAAGAGCUACGGUGGCCCAUGCGGAGGAGCAAUGCCGGGUCUCCAGCCCGCAGGAGGGAGAUGCCGGUGACAGAAAUUCGGCUGGAUCUUCUAGCGCACAAGGUGCAAACGUGCCAACCUGAUCCCUCUCCCGCAAUGUUCCUGAGGUCGCGGCAGCUUGCUCAGGCAGUAUAUCUACUCCACCAUUCAGACACACAAACAACUCAAACAACAGGAAGAAGCUUCAAAGCAGGACAAUCAACAUCUGGAAAAGUCAACAGGCUGUGCCUGUGUUGUCAGUAACACGUAAAGCAAAUGUUCCAGUUGCAAAUGCCCAGAGGAAGCACCUCUGAGCGCAUCCUGCAGAUUCCUCCUCAACAAAGACGCUUCCUUGCCCUGAGAACGUGCUCAACACAGCGAGUGAGCCUGCUCAGUCUUUUUCUUCCCCUAUCUUUUUCCAUUCUCCAACCAAAUGGACGGCAUUUGCUAACGCACGUACUCAUCGUUUUGCACGCAGACGGAGAGCAAAGGCAGGACAGACACCUGAGCUACCUGAGAAGCAGGGUGAGCUCUCCUAGGAUCUGCCACGCUACCUUGACUCUAAUCGAGCUGCCACGUCUCUCAGCUGCUGUGCUGCAGUGU
rnacentral:lncRNA from 1 species